UACGUAGGGUGCAAGCGUUGUCCGGAAUUAUUGGGCGUAAAGAGCUCGUAGGCGGUUCGUCGCGUCGGCUGUGAAAACCCGGAGCUCAACUCCGGGCCUGCAGUCGAUACGGGCGGACUGGAGUUCGGCAGGGGAGACUGGAAUUCCUGGUGUAGCGGUGAAAUGCGCAGAUAUCGGGAGGAACACCAGUGGCGAAGGCGGCACUCUGGGCCGGUACUGACGCUGAGGAGCGAAAGCGUGGGGAGCGAACAGG
rnacentral:rRNA from 1 species